GCCGAUGGUGCCGAUGUUGACGUGUGGCUUGUUCCGCUCGAACUUUCCCCUGGCGGCGCGCACCACGAGCAGCCCCGGGCGCCUGCCGGAGCUCCCCGCCGCCGCAGUGGCGCGGCGUGACCGCGCGGGCGCGGAGAAGCCGAGGGAGGUGGAGAGCGGGAGGCGGGGCUUGGAGGAGGAGGUGGAGGGCGGGAAGAGGAGCGCCGUGGAGGCGGAGGCGGCGGCGAGGGAGGCCAUGGGGGACGGCUUCUCUGGCGGGAGGGGGGAGCUAGCCGGUGGUGCUGCCGCGGGUGCGCGGGGUGGGGGAAGAGGAGAGGAUGGGAUGGAUAG
rnacentral:lncRNA from 1 species